UUCGAACUCAUGACCUCAAGUGAUCCACCUGCCUCAGCCUCCAGAAGUGCUGGCAUUACAGGCGUGAGCCACCUCGCCCAGUCCCCCUUGAGACUUUUAACAGGGCGGUAGGCUAGCUUCCCUGUCCCCAGAGGGGGAGAGGAGGGAGGAAGGGAGAACAGCUCAGGGAUGUGUUUUUAUCCUGAGUCAAAAGCCUGAUGAAGUCUGGAGAUUGAAGAAGACACCCAAAGCCAGACUUAGUCCCAGGGCCUGGUUUGGAGGGAGGUAGAGUUGGGUUCAGACAUUAGGGCCUGGGGCAGGAGCCUGGCAUGGGGGGCCAGUUGUUUCUCACAUCUGCUUCUCUUUGCCCUCAAACUCACCCUGCUCUCAGCCAUCAUCCAUCACCAAAUCCAUUUCCAUGCCUGCCUUCCUGCUUUGCUCCUGGCACCACAUCUGUGGGCCAGCUACUUCCUCGCUCUGUUUCACCCACUGUCCUGUUUCUGUCAUAGUUUGGGCACUGUCACUUCUCCCCUGUAUUACCAAACGCUUCCCCCAACAGGCCUCUCUGACUCUAACUUCUUUCUCACCAGUGCCUUCUGAUCACGGCAACCAUAGUGAUCUUUCUAAAGCACUUAUCAAACCAUAUCUAUCCCUAGCUUCGAGAGCUGCUCAUUGCUUCCAUGAUGAAAUUUAAAAGUGUUUGCUUUGCACUGGAGGCUCCAGGCAUGAUGUGUUCUCAGCUACCAUUCUGAUUCCAUUUCCAGCCAAGCCUAUCUUGUGAUUACCAAGCUCGUUCCUUCCCCA
rnacentral:lncRNA from 10 species